rnacentral:rRNA from 1 species
UACAGAGGGUGCGAGCGUUAAUCGGAAUUACUGGGCGUAAAGCGUGCGUAGACGGUUAUGUAAGUCGGAUGUGAAAGCCCCGGGCUCAACCUGGGAAUUGCAUUCGAGACUGCAUAGCUAGGAUGCGGAAGAGGGAAGUGGAAUUUCCGGUGUAGCGGUGAAAUGCGUAGAUAUCGGAAGGAACAUCAGUGGCGAAAGCGAACUUCCUGGUCCCAGCAUCGACGUCAGGCACGAAAGCGUGGGGAGCAAACAGG